CAGUGGGGAAUAUUGCACAAUGGGCGCAAGCCUGAUGCAGCCAUGCCGCGUGUAUGAAGAAGGCCUUCGGGUUGUAAAGGUACUUUCAGCAGUGAGGAAGUGGGUAUGUUAAUAGCAUACUCAUUUGACGUUAGCUGCAGAAGAAGCACCGGCUAACUCCGUGCCAGCAGCCGCGGUAAUACGGAGGGUGCGAGCGUUAAUCGGAAUUACUGGGCGUAAAGCGCAUGCAGGUGGUUUGUUAAGUCAGAUGUGAAAGCCCGGGGCUCAACCUCGGAAUUGCAUUUGAAACUGGCAAACUAGAGUACUGUAGAGGGGGUAGAAUUUCAGGUGUAGCGGUGAAAUGCGUAGAGAUCUGAAGGAAUACCGGUGGCGAAGGCGGCCCCCCUGGACAGAUACUGACACUCAGAUGCGAAAGCGUGGGGAGCAAACAGGAUUAGAUCCCUGGUAG
rnacentral:rRNA from 1 species